GCUUAAAUAAAAAUCUACGUUUUGCAUUUUAGGUUAAGCCGGGAUUGACAGUAUUUUGCAUAGCAAAUAUUUUAUUAAUUAUAUCGAUUAAUUGAUUUUUUACGUCAGCAGAAAAAAAUGGUCGUUUAUUUCUCUGACAGCCCCCCUACGAGCGGAAUUAUGUACAAUGAAGAGAACACGACGUUAAGGGUGAACCAUGCCCCUGUUGGAUGUGGGACUGUCUAUCUAACAGAAACAACAUUAUGCUGGUUCAAUACAACUCAGAAUCGAGGUU